CGCUGGCCCUGCAGACCCCGCUGGCCCGACGGCCUGCCGACGGCCGGCACCCUCUCGAUGGCUUGUCGCCGUGGUUUGUGGUGCGGCGUCGGCCUGGUCGCCUCGGGGUGGGAAUCGCACUGUCGAACGUGGCUUUUCUCAAAUUACGUCAAAGUCUUCAUGAUGUAUUCGACUGCGAUGCCUUCUAUCUCCCGAGACGCGGUCACCUUUGAAAACUCUACACUAAAAUCGACCAAAUUUUGUUUUGAGUCGAGUAAUAAUUUUAUCAGGGGUCUGAAUGAUCAAAA